rnacentral:lncRNA from 1 species
GUGGUCCCGCCGUGGAGUCCUUCUAUGGCCAGACAAGGUUUGGGACUUCAGUGUAACACAGCUCUUUUCCGUCUGUCUCUACUUACAGAGCCGGGUUUCCUCCCCUGACCACCAUCACCGAGGUCAGAGCAAAAGCUGCUGAGAAAGCAACACAGGCUGAGGAGGAAUUUGUCCAACAUGUGGCCAGGGGCAAAGACACUGAGAACUGAAUCAUCUGCCUUCGCUUAUUGUACUGCAGCACAGGAACAGCCAAAGGAUCUGAACACUGUGGCCAGUUGGGACCCACUGAAAACAUGUACCCUGGAAAUAAAAGAUUUUUAAAAGACAAAAGGAAGACACCAUGUGAAAACAUCACUAUGGAAACAUCACGGGCUCGCUUGCACUCGCCUGCCAAGCGACUACCUAACCCAAGUUUUACAUCCUAUUGGAUCACUGUUGGCCAUCUGCUCUCCUUCAAACUUCUCUGAAUUCCUUAUUUCCCUGAAAAGUUCAUUUUUAGAAAAGGAGGGAGGAGGAGGCAAGGGGAGAAUCCGGCGUUCUUGGCUAGAGGAGAGCUAUUGUGAAAAAGGAAGAUAAACUCACUUUGGGGCAGCCCCUUAAAAAGACAAAGAUCCAUGUUUUGCAAAGUAAUUUCAUAGAAAAUACCCCGUUUCUAGAUGGACUUUAACGAUAAGAGUAUAUAUUGGCAGCCACAAGGCAAAACAAACAAACAGCUGCUUCUAGUACUCUGGCACUAAUUGUCUUCCUCUCCCCUGCUCUCAUUUAGCGUCAAAUGUAUUUUCUUCUAAAAUGUAGCAGUUACUGCCUACACUGGAGCUGUUGGCUGCAGGCUCCCCAGCCUUGCUCCAAAUAAAACACAGAAAUAGAUUUCCUGCCA